AGACGCUUCCCUGCCCUCUCGCCUCAACCACCUCGAGGCAGCGGCUCCCAGGAUGUGCACUUUGACGACUAAAGCUGAGCCGGCGCCGCCACGACCUUGGGCGGGUGGUCGGCCUCUGCCCUGAGCAGGAAGUAGAAAGUCUCAGCAGACCCUUCCUGAGGGCCGAGCAACAGUGUAGUGGCGUAUUCCACAUAGCAAACAGGUGAAUUCCUUGGAAGAUGAGGGCCAAGUCUUAUUCUUCUCAGUCUCUUCUGCAUCUAGCAGAAGAAUAAUGGUUGCACAGAAAAUCUUGGUUCAGUGGUUGAGUGAAUGAAUGGAUGAACAGGCUCUUGCACACAAAGAAGAGACAUGAUGUAUUUGCAUCCUUCCCUGCUUCAGCCAGUUUUCUGAAGCUCAGAGGGACACCUUGUAUUGCUGGAUGAUAAAAACAGGAGCAAAGUGAUGAAGUGCUGACAAGGCAACAAUAGAACAUGAGAGAUUCACUGCUGUGUAGGAAGAGAUCUUCGGUGACCAUGUAGCCUGAAGCUCUCAUUUUGUCAUCGAGGGACACCAAAACUCAGAACAGAUGAGGUCUCCAAGGGACCAGAUGGAGAACAGAUGCAACCACACUGAAGUCAGAAUCG
rnacentral:lncRNA from 10 species